rnacentral:rRNA from 1 species
GACGAACGCUGGCGGCGUGCCUAAUACAUGCAAGUCGAACGCUGAAGGAGGAGCUUGCUUCUCCGGAUGAGUUGCGAACGGGUGAGUAACGCGUAGGUAACCUGCCUGGUAGCGGGGGAUAACUAUUGGAAACGAUAGCUAAUACCGCAUAAGAGUAGAUGUCGCAUGACAUUUGCUUAAAAGGUGCAACUGCACCACUACCAGAUGGACCUGCGUUGUAUUAGCUAGUUGGUGAGGUAACGGCUCACCAAGGCAACGAUACAUAGCCGACCUGAGAGGGUGAUCGGCCACACUGGGACUGAGACACGGCCCAGACUCCUACGGGAGGCAGCAGUAGGGAAUCUUCGGCAAUGGACGGAAGUCUGACCGAGCAACGCCGCGUGAGUGAAGAAGGGUUUCGGAUCGUAAAGCUCUGUUGUAAGAGAAGAACGAGUGUGAGAGUGGAAAGUUCACACUGUGACGGUAUCUUACCAGAAAGGGACGGCUAACUACGUG